UACAGAGGUCCCGAGCGUUGUUCGGAUUCACUGGGCGUAAAGGGUGCGUAGGCGGUCGGGUAAGGCUGAUGUGAAAUCUCACAGCUUAACUGUGAAACUGCAUUGGAUACUAUUCGGCUUGAGGUCUGGAGGGGGGACUGGAAUUCUCGGUGUAGCAGUGAAAUGCGUAGAUAUCAAGUGGAACACCAGUGGCGAAGGCGAGUCUCUGGACAUUUCCUGACGCUGAGGCACGAAAGCCAGGGGAGCAAACGGG
rnacentral:rRNA from 1 species